rnacentral:sRNA from 1 species
GCUGGGUGUGGUGGCUCACACCUGUAAUCCCAGUACCUUGGGAGGCUGAGGCAGGAAGAUCCUGAGUUCAAAGUCAGCCUCAGCAACUUAGUGAGAUGCCAAGCAACUCAAUGAGACCCUGUCUCUA